CAGUAGCCGCGGGAAUACAGAGGGUGCGAGCGUUAAUCGGAUUUACUGGGCGUAAAGCGUGCGUAGGCGGCUUCUUAAGUAGGAUGUGAAAUCCCUGAGCUUAACUUAGGAAUUGCAUUCGAUACUGGGAAGCUAGAGUAUGGGAGAGGAUGGUAGAAUUCCAGGUGUAGCGGUGAAAUGCGUAGAGAUCUGGAGGAAUACCGAUGGCGAAGGCAGCCAUCUGGCCUAAUACUGACGCUGAGGUACGAAAGCAUGGGGAGCAAACAGGAUUAGAUACCCCUGUAGUCCCUGUCUCUUAUAC
rnacentral:rRNA from 1 species